rnacentral:tRNA from 1 species
GCCCGGGUGGUGGAAUUGGUAGACACGCAGGUCUCAGAAGCCUGUGCCUUAACAGCAUGGGGGUUCGAGUCCCCCCUCGGGCACCA